UCCUCGCAAGUGAGUAGAGCCGAAGCCACGAUGCGAACCAUUAGCGACAAGGAUCGUCAGAAAACCGUGGAUGGGGCAUCAGCUGCAAACACCUUUUUGCUAGGUGCUGCCGGGAUUACUGCAAUAUUUGCGCCGCCGGUAGCAAUUGGAUUGCUGAUGGCCUCCGCUGGAACAACUGCAGCAAAAAUUACUGCUGAGAGUCUGCCAGGGGAUGAUGAGAAGUAGCAGGUCUGUUUUAUGCAAUUAAACCAUAAGCAUUCAAGUGAAAUAAAGAAUACUUUGAUUCCUUAGAGAGAACGAGCAUUACAAAAUGGCACUACGUUUGGUAAGCAAAUGCAGUGUGCAAUAACGCAAAGCUCUGCCUCCGAGAUUUUUAAGCUACAAAACUGCUUUUUCGUAAAGAAUGCAUGGCUGAAGAUUUGCUGCAUGCUAAGGCGGCGAGAUAGUGAAAUGUAAGCGUGACACGCAAUAUCCCGGUUACAUGUUUCUGUCCCCCC
rnacentral:lncRNA from 1 species